CUGCGGACGUUGUGAUUAAAGGAGUAAUUCGCUUCAGGAGGAGCCCGCGGCUGAUUAGCUAGUUGGUGAGGUAAUGGCUCACCAAGGCUACGAUCAGUAUCCGGUCUGAGAGGACGGUCGGACACACUGGAACUGAGACACGGUCCAGACUCCUACGGGAGGCAGCAGUGGGGAAUUUUUCGCAAUGGGGGCAACCCUGACGAAGCAACGCCGCGUGGAUGAUGAAGUAUCUUCGGUACGUAAAAUCCUUCCCGCAAGGGUUUGACGGUACCUUGU
rnacentral:rRNA from 1 species